rnacentral:rRNA from 2 species
AAAUGAACAGGUGGUGCAUGGUUGUCGUCAGCUCGUGUCGUGAGAUGUUGGGUUAAGUCCCGCAACGAAGCGCAACCCUUUAUGACUAAGKUKSCMRSMRUUUAGUUGGGCACUCUAGUAAGACUGCCGGUGACAAACCGGAGGAAGGUGGGGAUGACGUCAAAUCAUCAUGCCCCUUAUGACCUGGGCUACACACGUGCUACAAUGGAUGGUACAACGAGUUGCGAGACCGCGAGGUCAAGCUAAUCUCUUAAAGCCAUUCUCAGUUCGGACUGUAGGCUGCAACUCGCCUACACGAAGUCGGAAUCGCUAGUAAUCGCGGAUCAGCACGCCGCGGUGAAUACGUUCCCGGGCCUUGUACACACCGCCCGUCACACCAUGAGAGUUUGUAACACCCGAAGCCGGUGGCGUAACCCUUUUAGGGAGCGAGCCGUCUAAGGUGGGACAAAUGAUUAGGGUGAAGUCGUAACAAGGUAGCCGUAGGAGAACCUGCGGCUGGAUCACCUCCUUUCU